CUGGAAUCCCAGCUCGUCAUCCUCGAGGGCCUCAAAGUCGUACAGUGCCCGGGCCCACCGCACUCGCUGUCAGGGGUGGAAAACAGAGGGGUCCAGCUGAGCCAGGCUGGCCGGGCUGGCAUCGGAACCGCGGGCACAGGGGAGGGGGUGUGCUGGCCCUGGCUCCGAGUCGCAGCCCUCCUUGAGCAGGCUGCCCCGGAGGCUGACAGCCACUCUCCAGAGACAUUUCAAACCCCGCUGCGACUGCACGCAGACUGAGAGGCAGAGCCCAGAGAACAGCCACGCUGGUCGCCAAGGCCCCAAGAGGAUCCUGGAGCGCUACCCUCCCUGCAUCAAUAGGCGGCUUUUUGUUUUCUUCAGGUGACAAACAGAAUGCAGCGUGCCCACGCUAACAGCCCUCGGUUGCCAGUUCCCCUGAGCCAAGAUGGAUCUCCUUCUGCUAGAAUCACAGCCAGGAGACAUGAGGACGGGCCAAGGCCCCACAGCCAACAGAGAACAGCAGGCAGGAUGGCGCCCGCUGGGACCGGCUCCACCUGGAACUCUCGCCUCCCCCCCACCCCCUGCAGCCCCACCUACGGGGUUCGUGCCACCUCUGCGUGGGCUCCGUGCGGUUUGACAUCUCUCCUGGAGGCCCAACCGUUUCUCUACCGACCGCACUGCCUCCUCCAUUGAUGCCAGAGAGGGAAAUCCACGUACCCCGGCCACUUGGAGCUGCACUGGGUCUGUGUGUCUCCGGUGCAUGAGGGCGGCGUUCAUUUCGCUGCCCAUGCCCAGGCCACAGUGCCCGUCAUUUAUGUCCAGGCUGCCUCCACGGCGAUCCUAGAAACAAAUGCAACAGAAGACCCAUCACCACACCGCCAGAAGCAUUCCUCACGGGCUCCCCCAGCACCUUGUGCCAAGGUCAUUGGCCCAGCCAGUGCUCCAGGAAGACUUACUGAUGAUGACAAUAGACCCGAGAUAAUGGGGAGGGGGGAGGGUGACAAACAGACCCAGAUUGGGAAGAUGAUGCCAGAUCUCAUUCAUUCAAUCAAGGAACAUCUAUCAGGCACCUACCACGUGUCUAGCACUGUCCUAAGCACGAGGAUAUGUCACUAGAAAGGGAAGACCCCCGUCUUCAAGGAACAUCGGUUUAGAGGGGGAGCCAUACACAUAUCUCAACAGCCAGAUGGGUUAAGAGGCAUGAAAAGAUUUGGACUUGUGCUGAUGGGAAAAUGAAGCAAUUGUUCACGGAGUCCUCAGGGUCACGUUCAAGAGGUCACCUUGGCUUUGGCGGCGUGGGUCAGGGCGGAGACGGGACGACGGUACCUGACAGAUAUGGAGAAGUCCCCGGGGGAGCUCUGGCUGGCCCGGAUGAUGAAGCAACCAACAUCUUUGCCCAUCAGCAAGCUCUCUGCCUGGUGUCGAGAGAGGCCUUCGUGAAACCAUCUAUCA